UACGUAGGGUGCAAGCGUUAAUCGGAAUUACUGGGCGUAAAGCGCACGUAGGCGGCUUUGUAAGUUAGAGGUGAAAGCCCGGGGCUCAACCCCGGAAUUGCCUUUAAGACUGCAUCGCUUUGAAUCCGGGAGAGGUGAGUGGAAUUCCGAGUGUAGAGGUGAAAUUCGUAGAUAUUCGGAAGAACACCAGUGGCGAAGGCGGCUCACUGGACCGGUAUUGACGCUGAGGUGCGAAAGCGUGGGGAGCAAACAGG
rnacentral:rRNA from 1 species